GCAAGUCGAACGGUAACAGGUCUUCGGAUGCUGACGAGUGGCGGACGGGUGAGUAAUGCGUAGGAAUCUGUCUUUGAGUGGGGGACAACCCAGGGAAACUUGGGUUAAUACCGCAUAAGCCCUGAGGGGGAAAGCGGGGGAUCUUCGGACCUCGCGCUGGAAGAGGAGCCUACGUCUGAUUAGCUAGUUGGUAGGGUAAAGGCCUACCAAGGCGACGAUCGGUAGCUGGUCUGAGAGGACGACCAGCCACACUGGGACUGAGACACGGCCCAGACUCCUACGGGAGGCAGCAGUGGGGAAUUUUUCGCAAUGGGGGCAACCCUGACGAAGCAAUGCCGCGUGGAUGAAGAAGGCCUUCGGGUUGUAAAGUCCUUUCGUGGGGGACGAAAAGGCGGAUCCGAAUACGGUCUGCUGUUGACGUGAACCCAAGAAGAAGCACCGGCUAACUCCGUGCCAGCAGCCGCGGUAAUACGGAGGGUGCGAGCGUUAAUCGGAAUUACUGGGCGUAAAGGGCGCGUAGGCGGUGGGUUACGUCUGCCGUGAAAUCCCCGGGCUCAACCUGGGAAUGGCGGUGGAAACGGGCUGACUGGAGUAUGGGAGAGGGUGAUGGAAUUCCAGGUGUA
rnacentral:rRNA from 1 species